rnacentral:rRNA from 1 species
UACGUAGGGUGCAAGCGUUGUCCGGAAUUAUUGGGCGUAAAGAGCUCGUAGGCGGUUUGUCGCGUCUGCCGUGAAAGUCCGGGGCUCAACUCCGGAUCUGCGGUGGGUACGGGCAGACUAGAGUGAUGUAGGGGAGACUGGAAUUCCUGGUGUAGCGGUGAAAUGCGUAGAUAUCUGGAGGAACACCGGUGGCGAAGGCGGCAUCCUGGACCGACGACUGACGCUGAGGAGCGAAAGCCAGGGGAGCAAAGCGGGG